rnacentral:lncRNA from 1 species
CAUCUAUGACCGCAAUAAUACAUCUAAUGUUAAAGCAGUUCUUACAUACAUAUCUUGAUCAACAAUUACUCUUGCUAGAGAUUUUCGAAAUAAAUCUUCAAAUGGCUUUGAGAGAUAUCUUAUUCUAUGGAAUAAUUACCAGAAGGUGAUAGAUUACUUAUUGCACAUUCAUGUAUCUUUAUACUCAUACAUAUGAACUUGAAUACCACACUAUAAAGCCCUGCGAUUUGAUUGAGGGCUUUAAGGUGAAAUCAAAAUUCAUACAUGCAAAUAUAAGAUACCUACGAUGCCUAGUCUAAGAACUAUUUGCUUACUACAACUAGAAGCUUUGGAACGUUUAACAUUUAGUAAGCAUCUAUACGUUAAACUUCUUGGACGGUCAGUGUUUAAUGAAGUUGUCCAAUAGACAAGCACUUGUAUAUCCAUAACGGAGUCUAACAUGCAUAGCAUGAGACCAUGCUAACUCUAAUGCGAUGUACACCGGCCUUUUCGAAUAAUCAAUACCCAGUUGACUUUUCAAAUGGCUAGAAAAUUAGUUCAAAGACUAACUGACUAUGAGAUACAAGUCUCCGUGCCCUAACCUUGUUUAAGACAUAUCGUAUAUACCUUAAGUCCUAUGAACUCAUUCAUAGUACACUAUCUCUAUAAUAUAAAGUCAAACUCAUGAAUGAAUAAUACUUGCCUUUUGUUGCAGGACAUUCAUGUCCGUCCACUAAUUGGUGACAAAUGGGUGAUUGAUUCCUCAAAUGAAUAGGCCAUUCAUUUCUCAAUUAACUGUUAUAACUGUUAGGCCAUUCAUUUCUCAAUGGAUUAGGCAAUUGAUUCUCCCUAUUGAUUAAAGGUAUUUGUGUUAUUUGCAAGUGUUUGUACCAUACUUGACCAAUCCCGAAACUACUGAGCACCGGUCAACGUUAUACCGUCAAGGACCCAGAAGAGCUUCCCUUCAACCAGGAGGCCAAUCACAAUGUGACACGUGUCGACAUCAGAAGCCAAUCACAGCUCGACACGUGUCAACAUCAGAAGCCAAUCACAACACGACACGUGUCAAUGUUAGAACAAAACUAGAAACUCUCUUCUAUAAAUAGGGAUCAUUCUCCCACAAUAAUCUCAAAUGUCAUUUUGUACUAAACUAUUCACUAGAACUCACAAAAUGAGAGCUUGAACCUAUGUAUUUGUGUAAAC